AUUGAACGCUGGCGGCAGGCCUAACACAUGCAAGUCGAGCGGAUGAAGGGGGCUUGCUCCUGGAUUCAGCGGCGGACGGGUGAGUAAUGCCUAGGAAUCUGCCUUGUAGUGGGGGAUAACGUCCGGAAACGGGCGCUAAUACCGCAUACGUCCUGAGGUAGAAAGUGGGGGAUCUUCGGACCUCACGCUAUCAGCUGAGCCUAGGUCGGAUUAGCUAGUUGGUGGGGUAAAGGCCUACCAAGGCGACGAUCCGUAACUGGUCUGAGAGGAUGAUCAGUCACACUGGAACUGAGACACGGUCCAGACUCCUACGGGAGGCAGCAGUGGGGAAUUUUGGACAAUGGGCGAAAGCCUGAUCCAGCCAUGCCGCGUGUGUGAAGAAGGUCUUCGGAUUGUAAAGCACUUUAAGUUGGGAGGAAGGGCAGUAAGUUAAUACCUUGCUGUUUUGACGUUACCAACAGAAUAAGCACCGGCUAACUUCGUG
rnacentral:rRNA from 1 species